rnacentral:lncRNA from 1 species
UGUGUGUGUGUGUGUGUGUGUGUUUGUGUGUACGUGUAUAUAUGUAUUUAUCUGUCUGUAUGUCUAUCUGUCUGAGUAGGGAACUGGUCUCAGCCGUGUGAUUGGGGGAAAAUUCCACAGGAGAACCUUCUAGGAUAAAAGAGUAAACAUAAACAUGGAUCAUAUAUUCUAUAACACUGGUGCAAUGAUAUUAAGCAUCUUGGGUAUGAUAAUGGCUGUAUGCCACUGGACACAUUUAUUUAUGGGAGAAAACUUCAAUUAGUGGACAUUUCUGAGUCAUAAAUAAUGAUUAUUGUUUUCCUUAUUUUCCUUUUAAAGACAGAGAUGCUGAGGAAGGAAAUAUAACUUCAGGCUUAUUAAUGGCUCCUGGUACAAGGUUCCCUAGUGCUGUACCAGGUUGGUAACUACAGCCAGGACCAUUCAGCCUUGAACUGUCUGAGCCCUGCCUCUAACAGCCUUGGUAGAGAAGAUGCUCACAGCCAAGAAUCCCCUCUGAGGGGUUGACAGCGACGGUCCCUCUUCCCCAAGUUACAUCCUGGUCCGGCUUCCCUUGUGGCACGCUGGUGACGACUGACCUCCCUAUAACCCUGGUAUGAGGCCGUGAUGAAUGGGACGAAGCUCUCUCGGCAGAAAUGAGCUGGCUGCAAAUCCUGCCCUGAAGGUGGUGGCCCUUGAGGAUCCUCUCCAAACUUCUCUUCAAAGCCUUAAGUGACCACAUAGAUACCGAAGACUAUGGCUCCAUGGAAGAUCUUACAGGCUGCAGAGGAAAGGAGGCAUGGAAACUGAGGGGGAAGGAAGAGUUAAGGAGCUGAGGACACAGCUGGAGCCAACACUACCAUACUGACCUUGCUGUCCCUAAAUGAACCUUGGAGGUCACUACAGGACACGGUGUCAGCCUAGCGACAAAAGCCAGGAGUUAUUAGACUGCUUGUUCCUCUCAGUGACACAGUCCCGAGACCUGUUCUUCAU